rnacentral:rRNA from 1 species
UACGGAGGGUGCAAACGUUGUUCGGAAUCAUUGGGCGUAAAGCGCGCGUAGGCGGCCGUUAAGGUCGGGUGUGAAAGCCCAGGGCUCAACCCUGGAACUGCGCCCGAAACCGCACGGCUCGAGUCCCGGAGGGAGAAGUGGAAUUCCAGGUGUAGGGGUGAAAUCCGUAGAUAUCUGGAGGAACACCGGUGGCGAAGGCGACUUCUUGGCCGAGGACUGACGCUGAGGUGCGAAAGCGUGGGGAGCAAACAGG